AUGAUGGUGACCUAAACCCUCACCAGAGUAACAAUUGGAGGGCAAGUCUGGUGCCAGCAGCCGCGGUAAUUCCAGCUCCAAUAGCGUAUAUUAAACUUGUUGCAGUUAAAAAGCUCGUAGUUGAAUUUCUGCGUUAUCGAGUUAUUGACUCUUGUCUUUAAUCGAUUUCGCUUUUGGGAUUUAUCCCUUUUUACUUUGAGAAAAUUAGAGUGUUUCAAGCAGACUUUUGUCUUGAAUACUUCAGCAUGGAAUAAUAGAGUAGGACUUUGGUUCUAUUUUGUUGGUUUUUGAACCUUAGUAAUGGUUAAUAGGAACGGUUGGGGGCAUUCGUAUUUAACUGUCAGAGGUGAAAUUCUUAGAUUUGUUAAAGACGAACUACUGCGAAAGCAUUUGCCAAGGACGUUUCCAUUAAUCAAGAACGAAAGUUAGGGGAUCGAAGACGAUCAGAUACCGUCGUAGUCU
rnacentral:rRNA from 1 species